GAUAAACGCUGGCGGCGUGCCUAAUACAUGCAAGUCGAGCGAACGGACGAGAAGCUUGCUUCUCUGAUGUUAGCGGCGGACGGGUGAGUAACACGUGGAUAACCUACCUAUAAGACUGGGAUAACUUCGGGAAACCGGAGCUAAUACCGGAUAAUAUUUUGAACCGCAUGGUUCAAAAGUGAAAGACGGUCUUGCUGUCACUUAUAGAUGGAUCCGCGCUGCAUUAGCUAGUUGGUAAGGUAACGGCUUACCAAGGCAACGAUGCAUAGCCGACCUGAGAGGGUGAUCGGCCACACUGGAACUGAGACACGGUCCAGACUCCUACGGGAGGCAGCAGUAGGGAAUCUUCCGCAAUGGGCGAAAGCCUGACGGAGCAACGCCGCGUGAGUGAUGAAGGUCUUCGGAUCGUAAAACUCUGUUAUUAGGGAAGAACAUAUGUGUAAGUAACUGUGCACAUCUUGACGGUACCUAAUCAGAAAGCCACGGCUAACUACGUGCCAGCAGCCGCGGUAAUACGUAGGUGGCAAGCGUUAUCCGGAAAUAUUGGGCGUAAAGCGCGCGUAGGCGGUUUUUUAAGUCUGAUGUGAAAGCCCACGGCUCAACCGUGGAGGGUCAUUGGAAACUGGAAAACUUGAGUGCAGAAGAGGAAAGUGGAAUUCCAUGUGUAGCGGUGAAAUGCGCAGAGAUAUGGAGGAACACCAGUGGCGAAGGCGACUUUCUGGUCUGUAACUGACGCUGAUGUGCGAAAGCGUGGGGAUCAAACAGGAUUAGAUACCCUGGUAGUCCACGCCGUAAACGAUGAGUGCUAAGUGUUAGGGGGUUUCCGCCCCUUAGUGCUGCAGCUAACGCAUUAAGCACUCCGCCUGGGGAGUACGACCGCAAGGUUGAAACUCAAAGGAAUUGACGGGGACCCGCACAAGCGGUGGAGCAUGUGGUUUAAUUCGAAGCAACGCGAAGAACCUUACCAAAUCUUGACAUCCUUUGACAACUCUAGAGAUAGAGCCUUCCCCUUCGGGGGACAAAGUGACAGGUGGUGCAUGGUUGUCGUCAGCUCGUGUCGUGAGAUGUUGGGUUAAGUCCCGCAACGAGCGCAACCCUUAAGCUUAGUUGCCAUCAUUAAGUUGGGCACUCUAAGUUGACUGCCGGUGACAAACCGGAGGAAGGUGGGGAUGACGUCAAAUCAUCAUGCCCCUUAUGAUUUGGGCUACACACGUGCUACAAUGGACAAUACAAAGGGCAGCGAAACCGCGAGGUCAAGCAAAUCCCAUAAAGUUGUUCUCAGUUCGGAUUGUAGUCUGCAACUCGACUACAUGAAGCUGGAAUCGCUAGUAAUCGUAGAUCAGCAUGCUACGGUGAAUACGUUCCCGGGUCU
rnacentral:rRNA from 1 species